UGGAGAGAUGCUGAUUGGCCAGGACUGUGGUUGGCUUGUGUUGGCUUUUCUCCUGAUCUGCAUCCUUGACAGUCUCAGCCAAUCCAAUGCUUUUCUUUUGAGAAAGCAUUGUGAUUGGCUCAUAUCAUCACUUCAGAUCAGGGACAGAGCCAGCAUAAGCAGACAGGAAUAAAGGUAAGAUUUUACAAUAUUUAGGGGGCAGGGUAGCUAGAUGUGCUGUUUUUAACAAUCUAGAGUCAGGAAAAUAUGUUUGUAUGCCUGACCUUAUACGAGGUAUCAGAAUGUUUGUAAACAUUUCUGCCAAGAUGCUUCCAGGUGGCAGAACGCGAGCGGCUUCCACUGACCUGAAACUCCAGCCACGCACACCUACAGCAAGGCAUGCACACCGACAGCACAGUGCUGUGCAAACCAAUGCUAGACCCAGCCUGCAUGCAUAAUGCACUACGAUUUAUAGUUUAUUUCCCCCUCCCUGCUUCUUACCUUGCCAGGGAGGGGGGAGAUUGCAUGGUGGAGGGAGCAAGCCGCAGUACAUUGCAUCAGAGAACUCUUCGGGUAUUGCCACCCGGAAGAACUUCUAUUAUUGUUGUGACGUCAUGGU